rnacentral:rRNA from 1 species
GAUGAACGCUGGCGGCGUGCCUUACACAUGCAAGUCGAACGCGAAAGUAGGGGCAACCCUGCGAGUAGAGUGGCGAACGGGUGAGUAAUGCAUCGGAACAUUUCCAGUAGCGGGGGAUAACCUCGAGAAAUCGAGGCUAAUACCGCAUACGUCCUACGGGAGAAAGCGGGGGACCGCAAGGCCUCGCACUAUUGGAGUGGCCGAUGCCGGAUUAGCUAGUCGGCGGGGUAAAAGCCCACCAAGGCGACGAUCCGUAGCUGGUCUGAGAGGAUGAUCAGCCACACUGGGACUGACACGGCCCAGACUCCUACGGGAGGCAGCAGUGGGGAAUUUUGGACAAUGGGCGCAAGCCUGAUCCAGCCAUGCCGCGUGAGUGAAGAAGGCCUUCGGGUUGUAAAGCUCUUUCGGCCGGGACGAGAUCGCACCCUUUAAUACGGGGUGUGGAUGACGGUACCGGAAGAAGAAGGACCGGCUAACUACGUGCCAGCCGCCGCGGUAA